ensembl:misc_RNA 7SK 7SK RNA
GGAUGUGAAGGUGAUCUGGGUGCAACAUUUGUCACCCCAUUGAUCACCAGUGUUGAUUCGGCUGAUCUGGCUGGCUAGGUGGGUGUCUCCUUCCUCCCUCAUCACUCCAUGUGCGUCCCUCCUGAAGCUGCGUGCUCAGUCGAAAAGGAUGACCUUCCCCGAUAGAGGAGGAUGGUUCUUCAGUCUUCAGUCAAGGAUAUACGAAUAGCUGCGCUCCCCUGCUAGAACCUCCAAACAAGCUCUCAAUCUACUAACAGAGGCGUGCUACAAUCCAGUAAAGCAGCACAGCCAGCUAGCAAGCCAGGGCCAGGUGGGGAGGUCACUGCCU